rnacentral:rRNA from 1 species
GACAGAGGUGCCGAGCGUUAGGCGGAAUCACUGGGCUUAAAGCGUGUGUAGGCGGCGGCGUAAGUACCUUGUGAAAUCCCACGCUCAACCGUGGAACUGCUCGGUAUACUGCGUCGCUUGAGCCAGCUAGGGGCGACCGGGAACAAAACGGGUGGAGCGGUGAAAUGCGUAGAUAUCGUUUGGAACGCCGAUGGUGAAAACAGGUCGCU